UACAGAGGGUGCGAGCGUUAAUCGGAAUUACUGGGCGUAAAGCGUGCGUAGGCGGUUCGUUAAUGUUCGUUGUGAAAGCCCCGGGCUCAACCUGGGAAUGGCAAUGGAGACUGCAAGGCUUGAAUCUGGCAGAGGGGGGUAGAAUUCCACGUGUAGCAGUGAAAUGCGUAGAGAUGUGGAGGAACACCGAUGGCGAAGGCAGCCCCUGGGUCAAGAUUGACGCUCAUGCACGAAAGCGUGGGGAGCAAACAGG
rnacentral:rRNA from 1 species